UAGAAAUGUGGUGUUCAUGGAAGAGCUGCUAACUCUUCCCCUAGUGGUUAAAUUCCAUUAACAUUUCUAA
rnacentral:tRNA from 1 species